AGAGUUUGAUCAUGGCUCAGGACGAACGCUGGCGGCGUGCUUAACACAUGCAAGUCGAGCGGUAAGGCCCUUCGGGGUACACGAGCGGCGAACGGGUGAGUAACACGUGGGUAACCUGCCCUGUACUCUGGGAUAAGCCUUGGAAACGAGGUCUAAUACCGGAUACGACCUGGGAUCGCAUGAUCUUGGGUGGAAAGUUCCGGCGGUAUGGGAUGGACCCGCGGCCUAUCAGCUUGUUGGUGGGGUAAUGGCCUACCAAGGCGACGACGGGUAGCCGGCCUGAGAGGGUGACCGGCCACACUGGGACUGAGACACGGCCCAGACUCCUACGGGAGGCAGCAGUGGGGAAUAUUGCACAAUGGGCGAAAGCCUGAUGCAGCGACGCCGCGUGAGGGAUGACGGCCUUCGGGUUGUAAACCUCUUUCAGCAGGGACGAAGCGCAAGUGACGGUACCUGCAGAAGAAGCACCGGCUAACUACGUGCCAGCAGCCGCGGUAAUAC
rnacentral:rRNA from 1 species